UACGAAGGGUGCAAGCGUUACUCGGAAUUACUGGGCGUAAAGCGUGCGUAGGUGGUUUGUUAAGUCUGCUGUGAAAGCCCCGGGCUCAACCUGGGAAUGGCAGUGGAUACUGGCAAGCUAGAGUGCGGUAGAGGGGUGUGGAAUUCCCGGUGUAGCGGUGAAAUGCGUAGAGAUGUGGAGGAACACCGAUGGCGAAGGCAGCCUUCUGGGCCAACACUGACGCUCAUGCACGAAAGCGUGGGGAGCGAACAGG
rnacentral:rRNA from 1 species